UACGUAGGGUGCAAGCGUUAUCCGGAAUUAUUGGGCGUAAAGAGCUCGUAGGCGGUUUGUCGCGUCUGCUGUGAAAACUGGAGGCUCAACCUCCAGCCUGCAGUGGGUACGGGCAGACUAGAGUGCGGUAGGGGAGAUUGGAAUUCCUGGUGUAGCGGUAGAAUGCGCAGAUAUCAGGAGGAACACCGAUGGCGAAGGCAGAUCUCUGGGCCGUAACUGACGCUGAGGAGCGAAAGCAUGGGGAGCGAACAGG
rnacentral:rRNA from 1 species